GACGCCGGCGGCGUGCUUAACACAUGCAAGUCGAACGAAGCACUUGAACCUGAUUCUUCGGAUUGAAGGAUCUGUGACUUAGUGGCGGACGGGUGAGUAACGCGUGGGCAACCUGCCUCACACUGGGGGACAACAGUUGGAAACGACUGCUAAUACCGCAUAAGCGCACACUGCUGCAUGGCAGAGUGUGAAAAACUGAGGUGGUGUGAGAUGGGCCCGCGUUGGAUUAGGUAGUUGGUGAGGUAACGGCCCACCAAGCCGACGAUCCAUAGCCGACCUGAGAGGGUGACCGGCCACAUUGGGACUGAGACACGGCCCAAACUCCUACGGGAGGCAGCAGUGGGGAAUAUUGCACAAUGGGGGAAACCCUGAUGCAAGCGACGCCGCGUGAGUGAAGAAGUAUUUCGGUAUGUAAAGCUCUAUCAGCAGGGAAGAAGAUGACGGUACCUGCACAAGAAGCCCCGGCUAACUACGUGCCAGCCGCGGC
rnacentral:rRNA from 1 species